rnacentral:rRNA from 1 species
AUUGAACGCUGGCGGCAUGCUUUACACAUGCAAGUCGAACGGUAACAGGCCUUCGGGUGCUGACGAGUGGCGAACGGGUGAGUAAUGCAUCGGAACGUACCCAGAGGUGGGGGAUAACGCAGCGAAAGCUGUGCUAAUACCGCAUGUGAUCUGAGGAUGAAAGCGGGGGACCGCGCAGCAAUGUUUGGCCUCGCGCCUUUGGAGCGGCCGAUGUCGGAUUAGCUAGUUGGGGGGGUAAAGGCCUACCAAGGCGACGAUCCGUAGCUGGUCUGAGAGGACGACCAGCCACACUGGGACUGAGACACGGCCCAGACUCCUACGGGAGGCAGCAGUGGGGAAUUUUGGACAAUGGGCGCAAGCCUGAUCCAGCAAUGCCGCGUGCGGGAAGAAGGCCUUCGGGUUGUAAACCGCUUUUGGCAGGAACGAAACGGUGUCCGCUAAUACCGGGCGCUAAUGACGGUACCUGCAGAAUAAGCACCGGCUAACUACGUG